GUACAAAUCUUCUUCCAAUUCCAUCCUUUCUUCAAACCCAAAAUCCCAAUCCAUUCAAACAAACCCUAAAACCCCAUUAAUCACUGCAACAAAUUUUCUACUUUGCCACACCAGAUCUAUCAAAACUACUCAUGUUCUUUGUAUGUGACGUUUUAGUCAUCUCCAUCAUCAAUUAACUCAAGGUAAAGCCUCUAUUUCUCUCUAAAUUUUGUUCUUUGAAGCAUAGGUUACUGGUUUAGAAAGAAUUUAGAAACCUAAUUGAAUUAGAAAAGGGGUUUAUAUGAUUCUUGUUGAUUGGUUAUUCAUUCCUUGUUUAUUAUAAGGUUUAUUAUAGGGAAAUGAGAUAAAGUAGUAGAACUCACUCUAAUUUCACAAUAUGACUCUUUGAGUCGAUUUAACAUUAAAUGCUCUGGUGAUACCUUUGUGUAUAGAGAAGUCUCCUUGAUCUAUUAUUGGCUUUAAUUUUAGCAAGUUUAUCUUUAAGAAGUUUUAUGAUUGUCAUUUUAUUUAGCUGUGAAGGGUCAUUCAAGGUUUGUACGACAUGGAGAUCUUGAAGCAGUCAACAAGAAACGCCUACGUUCACCACCUACACAUGUGACAACACCACCUACAGCAGUCCAAGAGAAAGCUCCACUAAUUAACUACCCAGGUGACAACCCCACCUAUAUGUCAAUUGUUACUACACAGUUUUUUUUAAAUUCUUUUAUUGUUGCUUUGGGUAUGAGAUGACUUAUAUAAUAUAUUUACUCGCCAAAGUUGUAAUUUUUUAUGCAAUAGCUUCACCACCAAGAAAUAACUAUGUUAACCCAUGACUUUUUGCAAUGUGCAUUUUACAGUUCAGAAUAUUAAAAAGAGGAUGAAGAUGACAUGAUGAUAUGCUGC
rnacentral:lncRNA from 1 species